CUGGGCACCAAAGACACCCUGAGCUUGCUGCUUUUUAUUGGGUUCAUAAGGAGUAAGAGAUUACUCAGAGGGCAGCUAUGAUCCUAGGACGAACCAACUCAGAGUUGUCACAGGACAUGGCCAGUGAAUGAGGAGGCCACCAGGAGCCAUGCGUCCUUCUGUAGUUCAAGCAGCUGUGACCACAAGGUAGACAGGCCGUGGCCGGUGCCCAUGGCGCCUUUUAUCCUCUUCGUCUUCAUCGCUUCCACCCUCUUCCACCUCCAGCAGCGACUGGUGCAGACUGAACCCGGGAGAAAGGGACAGAAUUGGAAGCUACCACCCACACUGCCACCGUCCCCACAGAUACCCGCGUCUGGAGGGCAUGUUCACCGUCCACGCCGUGGGCCGCCUGGGGAACCAGAUGGGCCAGUACGCCACGCUGUACGCC